rnacentral:rRNA from 1 species
GACGAACGCUGGCGGCGUGCCUAACACAUGCAAGUCGAACGAGACGUUCGGGCCUAGGGGCGCACGGGGGCGUAAGGCGGGGGAAGCUGCACUUAGGUUCGGAAUAACUCCCCGAAGGGGGUGCUAAUACAGGUUAAUGUCAUCGGACCUAAGAUUUCUCGCCUUUGGAUGGGCGCGUGUAGGAUUCGCUAGUUGGUAGGGGAAAAGCCUGCCAAGGCCACGAUGCUUAGCUGGUCUGGGAGGAUGCCCCGCCACGCUGGGACUGCGACCCGGCCCACACUCCUACGGGGGGCAGCAGUGGGUAAUAUUGUGCGAGGGGCGAUGGCCUGGUCCAGCAGCGCCGCGUGUGUGAUGAAGGGCUUAGGGUUGCAAAUCUCUUUUACCCGAGAUGAUAAUGACAGUACCGGGUGAAUAAGCACCGGCUAACUCCGUG